GACGAACCGUGCGAACGUUGUUCGGAAUCACUGGGCUUAAAGGGCGCGUAGGCGGGCUGUCAAGUCUGGGGUGAAAUCCCACGGCUCAACCGUGGAACUGCCUCGGAUACUGACGGCCUCGAGGGAGGUAGGGGCGUGCGGAACUGUGGGUGGAGCGGUGAAAUGCGCAGAUAUCAGGAGGAACACCGGUGGCGAAGGCGGGUCUCUGGGCCGAAACUGACGCUGAGGAGCGAAAGCGUGGGGAGCAAACAGG
rnacentral:rRNA from 1 species